GAUGAAGAACGCAGCGAAAUGCGAUAAGUAAUGUGAAUUGCAGAAUUCAGUGAAUCAUCGAAUCUUCGAACGCACAUUGCGCCCGCCAGUAUUCUGGCGGGCAUGCCUGUCUGAGCGUCAUUUCAACCCUCAUGCCCCUAGGGCGUGGUGUUGGGGAUCGGCCAAAGCCCGCGAGGGACGGCCGGCCCCUAAAUCUAGUGGCGGACCCGUCGUGGCCUCCUCUGCGAAGUAGUGAUAUUCCGCAUCGGAGAGCGACGAGCCCCUGCCGUUAAACCCCCAACUUUCCAAGGUUGACCUCAGAUCAGGUAGGAAUACCCGCUGAACUUAAGCAUAUCAAUAAGCGGAGGA
rnacentral:misc_RNA from 1 species